AAUAAGUGCAGCCAUAAGUUCUCUACCUAACUUUGAUCAUCCGUCUUAUUUAAUUUUUUUUUAUAAUUAGUAUUUUUAUUGUUAUUAGAUUAUAAAAUAUGAUGCGUGACUUAUUCUUUAUAUUUUUUUAAAAAAAAUAAAAUAAGACGAACGAUCAGGUUUCAGGUAGUACAAUUUCUAUUCCCACCUACC
rfam:Oryza sativa Japonica Group DNA, chromosome 6, cultivar: Nipponbare, complete sequence.